UAGGGAAUCUUCCGCAAUGGGCGAAAGCCUGACGGAGCAACGCCGCGUGAGUGAUGAAGGUCUUCGGAUCGUAAAACUCUGUUAUUAGGGAAGAACAAAUGUGUAAGUAACUAUGCACGUCUUGACGGUACCUAAUCAGAAAGCUACGGCUAACUACGUGCCAGCAGCCGCGGUAAUACGUAGGUGGCAAGCGUUAUCCGGAAUUAUUGGGCGUAAAGCGCGCGUAGGCGGUUUUUUAAGUCUGAUGUGAAAGCCCACGGCUCAACCGUGGAGGGUCAUUGGAAACUGGAAAACUUGAGUGCAGAAGAGGAAAGUGGAAUUCCAUGUGUAGCGGUGAAAAGCGCAGAGAUAUGGAGGAACACCAGUGGCGAAGGCGACUUUCUGGUCUGUAACUGACGCUGAUGUGCGAAAGCGUGGGGAUCAAACAGG
rnacentral:rRNA from 1 species